rnacentral:rRNA from 1 species
ACGAACGCUGGCGGCGUGCUUAACACAUGCAAGUCGAGCGGUAAGGCCCUUUCGGGGGUACACGAGCGGCGAACGGGUGAGUAACACGUGGGUGACCGGCCCUCAGCUCUGGGAUAAGCCUGGGAAACCGGGUCUAAUACCGGAUAUGACUCCAUGACGCAUGUUGUGGGGUGGAAAGCCUUGUGCGGCUGAGGAUGGGCCCGCGGCCUAUCAGCUUGUUGGUGGGGUGAUGGCCACCAAGGCGACGACGGGUAGCCGGCCUGAGAGGGCGACCGGCCACACUGGGACUGAGACACGGCCCAGACUCCUACGGGAGGCAGCAGUGGGGAAUCUUGCGCAAUGGGCGAAAGCCUGACGCAGCGACGCCGCGUGAGGGAUGACG